rnacentral:rRNA from 1 species
CGCGUAGGCGGGUUUGCAAGUCAGAAGUGAAAUCCCCGGGCUCAACCUGGGAAUAGCUUUUGAUACUGUGGACCUUGAGUUCGGGAGAGGGUGGCGGAAUUCCAGGUGUAGGAGUGAAAUCCGUAGAUAUCUGGAGGAACAUCAGUGGCGAAGGCGGCCACCUGGCCCGAUACUGACGCUGAGGUGCGAAAGCGUGGGUAGCAAACA